AGCAGCCGCGGUAAUUCCAGCUCCAAUAGCGUAUAUUAAAGUUGUUGCAGUUAAAAAAGCUCGUAGUUGAACUUCGGGACCGGUGGGUUGGUCGUGCCUCCGGUACGUACUGGUCUUACUGGUUCCUCCUUCUGAAGAACCACGAUGUCAUUAAUUUGGUGUCGUGGGGAAUCAGGACUGUUACUUUGAAAAAUUAGAGUGUUUAAAGCAGGCUAAAGCUUGAAUAGAUUAGCAUGGAAUAACGAAAUAGGACGUUU
rnacentral:rRNA from 1 species